CGCGGGCUGGAUCUGGAUGCGGGGGCUGGGAUGCGGGGGCUGGCACGCGGGCUGGAGGAGGGUGGACGAGGGCAGGUCCGAGUCUCUAAGACCGCUCGCCAGUCUGCAGGAAAGGCGAGUAUACAGGCGAAAGAGGCAGCGUGAUCUUCCACUUUCAACAGUCCCUAUCUUCUUCUGGACUUCUGGACCUUCUACCAUCUGGACCUCGCCUCUGGGAAGUAGCUGACAGAGGGGAAGAAAUUGAGGCUAUGAAAUCAUCCAGGGAGGAAGUGGCAGAACCAGCUUGAUUCUAGAACCUAUGCUCCUAAUUACCUUGAUACUGUAUACUCUACCAUAAAUCAUUCAGGUAAGGAAACAGAGACCUGGAAAGAUAAAGUGACUUCCGCCAAGAUUAAACAGCCUCUAAAAGGCAGUGCGAGGACUCAAAACGUCUCCUGCCUGUAAAUCAGAAUUUCCUGUCAUUAUCACAUCCUUCCUUUCCAAACUGCCCUUAAUAAAACUCUUGGUUUUCUAGGUCUCUGAUAAGUAUUUUUUUCUGUACUCAUCAAGUGCUUUAUCACUGAAGAGCCUACAUAAUUUAUAUUUUAUGAGGAUUUGCAGCAUUUCCGCCUUCCUCUUACCUGAAAAGUAUUUCACAAAAAAGGGAUUUAGUGAUUUUGGUUUUUUUACUGCAUUGUGGCAUGGGGGCUUAUAAUCAUCUUAGGCAAUGUCAGAAAGAAGGCCUAAUCAAGGUCUGCGGGAGAAGAUCUGUAAGGAGGAGAGCAGUCUUUCAAAUUUUUCAUUUGAUGAAAGUGCUAAUAUAAAAGGAAAAAAAGACUGCAAAAUGAGGUUCAAGAAAGAAAAAGGCUCAGAAAAGAUAAUGGUAAGUCCAGAGAAAUUUUCAAAAAAAAUAGUAGAAAAAUCCUCAAAGGGGAGGGACAACAAAUAAGGUUAAUACAUACGCUAGGAGAUGCGCGUAAUCGGUUUCUCCUACUGAGCAGGUAACGGGCAGUAGUGUUCUUAUCUUCAGGAGGAGUCAUAAAAACAAAGGUUUGUUUCAUUUUACAGAUUUUAUUCUAAUUUUUCUUUUCAAAGGUUUUUCUCUUUAUUAAGUCUUUGUAAGAAUUAAUAUUUAUAAGACAUAUUUAUUAAGUCUUUCUCUUUACUCAGUCUCUUUAUAAAGUCUUUUCUCUUUAUUGAAAAGACUGAUUUUCACCCUGAUAUGCAUGGGUGAAGUAGAACCUUUUUUCACCAAUACACUGAACUGUAUAAUUAUUUCCAAUAAGCUUGGACUUUGGAACUAUUUCUCAAAACUGAAACUCCAAUAUUUCUACACGCUCUUUCCGAGUAGCACAGGCUGUCUACACAAACGAUAAUUGGUUACUCCACGUUAACUCUCUCAGCUGCUUUAUUCUGGAUCUGCCUUCUUUCUCCUCCUCACUGUUUCAAACUCUUGCCCACAGUGAAAACUCAUCUCUAAAUGUGGACAGUUUUCUGAGGGACCUUGUGUUCUGCAAUUUUAAUGUCUCAGAUACUGUACGAAAAAAGGACCUGAAGAGGCGUUUUACCCCCACCCUGCAACUAUCUGAAUGAUGACAAUACAGCGAUGGUGACCACGAUGCUGAGAGCAAUAACCUUUCCUCCACAUUGCUGUGUGUCAGGGCCCAGGCUAAGCCUGUUUAAUAUAUUCUCUCAUAUAAUGCUUGAAACCUUAUGAGUUAGAUAUAUUAUUACUAUGUUCAUUUAACAGGUAAGAUGAGCUUCAGAGAGUUAGAUAAAAUGUGUAGGCCUAGCUACUAAGUGGCAGAACCAGGAUUAAAACUCAGUUCAACUAUUGAUUCAACAUGUACAGAGCACCUACUAUGUGCCAAGCAUGGUACUAGGUAAUUAUUCACUGUCAAGGGCAGCGGGUGCUCCUGGAAACCAGCACUAGUUUACUUAGUUAACAUCUUUGGGAUAUGUCAGCUCUCUCUGUACUGCAAGUGUAAUACUAGAAGCAUCCCUCAGACAAGAAACAGAAAGCCCUUUUGGUGCCCAGAAGAGGAAAGUAAACCAGCUUUGAGAAAAAUCAUGAUGUGGAUUCUGCCUCAAGCAGAGCUCAGGAAGUCAAAGUUAAAAUGGCCUGAUGCUACACACUUUUGGAAAGAAACUUGUUCAUAUGGUUCAAUAGCCAUAAAAAUUUAAAUUUGAUAAUGUAAUUUCUGGAAGUCUAUUUUAGUUUUGGGAAUUUAUUUUAAAGAAGUUAUGUAAAACAUGGAAAAAUUAUAUGAAUAAAAGAUGUUUAUGGCAGUGCUAUUUAUAGUACCUUAAAGGUGGAAGCAACCUGUAAGUCCAGAAAGAAGAAAAUGAUAACAAAGCCUGUCAAUGAAAUGAUUUAAAGUUAUUAAAAGCAUAAAGACUAUGUAGCUACCUUUAAAAAUGUACACUUAUAUAAGACACAGUAAAGAAAGUAAAAUUCAAAUUCAUCCUCUAUGAUUACCAAUACGUAAAACUGUUUCUAAAAAGACUGGAAGUGAAUACUUCAAAAUUAUAAUAUUGCUAUUUGGGGUGGAACCACAGGUAGGGUCUGUCCUCUCACUUUUGGUAACACUGUCUCUUUCAGAAUUUC